rnacentral:rRNA from 1 species
GACAGAGGGGGCAAGCGUUGCUCGGAAUCACUGGGCGUAAAGGGCGCGUAGGCGGGAUGGCAAGUCAGUCGUGAAUCUCUCGGCUCAACCGAGAAACGUCGGCUGAUACUGCCGAUGCAUUGAGGGAGUGCGAGAGGAGACUGGAAUUCCCGGUGUAGCGGUGAAAUGUGUAGAGAUCGGGAGGAACACCGGUGGCGAAGGCGGGUCUCUGGGCCGAUACUGACGCUGAGGAGCGAAAGCGUGGGGAGCGAACAGG